AAUAAGUGCAGUUUUAGCACUGUUCAUGUUCAACGUUUGACCGUUCGUCUUAUUUGAAAAAAGAUUAUGAUUAGUAUUUUUAUUGUUAUUAAAUGAUAAAACAUGAAUAGUACUUUAUGUGUGACUAAUUUUUUUAAUAUUUUUAAUAAAUUUUUCAAAUAAGACGGAUGGUCAAAGUGCUAAACACGGAUAUCUAUGGCUGCAUUUAUU
rnacentral:pre_miRNA from 1 species